AGCUCCCACGGCGACGCGCCGGGAAUCGGUGACGGGCGGGGGCCGUGAGGGGACGGGCGAUGUACAGGGACAGCUGAGUGGGGACAGGGGUCCUAAUUACUCUGGAGGAUGGAGCUCCCAAGACCAUUCCCACCUCUGACCAACAACACCUAAACUGUGCUUUGGAGCCAGCUCCAUCUGGGAUGGAUCCAGUUCUUCAGGUUAACAGAUUUUAAUUCUCUGUGAAGGAAACUCCAUGUAUUUUAAGGAAGUGCUAAGCAUCAUGAUGGUUUUUAGAACAACCAGAUCAUUGUGAUGAAACUGGCUUUUAACAAAGGGGUGCUUGAUUUCACUUCAUGAUUCCUGAAAGUAAUAAGGUUGCCUUUUCCUCCUCCCUUCACCCCAGGAAUGCACCCACUCCAGAUCAAGAGCUUCUAUUUUGGAAAAAUGGGCAAUUUUGUUGUCAGGACUAUUCAUAUAGAAAUGUCAUUUCAGUGCUUGGUAAGACAUUUCCAUUUCCUGAUCUGCAGUUCUACUUCAUUCCAGGAAAGUACAGUGAGUGCCUGGAGCUGUCAUCCACCACAGGGCAGUGAUGGAAUCCCAUAGCCAGGAACACUUGUCUUCAGGGGCUUUUUUGGUAUCCCUCUGCCAUGAACAGUAUUUCUUUCCUGCCAAAAGCUUCCACUUCUAAUGAAAAUACAUCCUGCCUUUCAAGACUAGUAUUUUCAUGGCUGAUUCUCAACUGAUUGGGAGUUGCUAAAUCCAGUAGCCUCACAGAGGUGAGGCUGCUGCAGCUCCACACCCCUGGGUCCAGCAGACACAUCCACAAAUGUGUAAAAUGUCUGUGCACUGAUGGUUCCAGUGGCCAGCUCAGACAGAAACACUCAGCACUCAGAAAAACAGCACCAGUGGCCUCAUCCUGCUCCCUGCUCUGGCAGAUCAGGGUGAAGGUGUGUGAGUGCAAAAUAUUUUAAAAAAUCAUCAUAGAAUCAUAGAAUGGUUUGGGUUGGAAGGGACCUUAAAGAUCACCCAGUUCCAAUCCCCUGCCAUGGGCAGAGAGACCUUCCACUAGACCAGGUUGCUCAAAGGCCUGUCCAGCUUGGCCUUACAAAUAUUAUGGUCAUUUCCAAAUUUUAAAAUCAAAAUAUACACUUCCAGGUACUACCACGCAGGAAAUCCACGGGAGUGGCUUUCAGUUAUGGAAGAGACGCUGGAACAGCAAUUAAGAUUGCAACUCUUGCACAGUUAACCAUUAUGGGCUAAAUUAAAAGUUGGAUGAAUCAUUUUCCAGCCAUAUAAAUCACUGAAGUUGUUCUAUCCAUCAUGAAGGUAA